rnacentral:lncRNA from 1 species
GGUUGAAUCAUGCCCUGAUUGCAGACUAGAAGAUCGCCGCCCGACCGACUAUUGGGCCCUAGGACGGCUUUGGUGAGUUUGCCUCCUCUCUGGGCUCUGAGGAGGCACACAUGGCUCUGGCUGUAGUGGGGGCACCAUUACGGGAGGCACUGAUAGUGUCGUCGAGAAAACCACUGAUUGCACUGUCGAGGGAGGUGCGCAGGGGCAACCUGAGUAAGUUGUGGC